AUGACCUUACUUGAACAAUAUCUAUUCUGUGGGAUCAUACCACUGCAAACGUGCCAGCAAGUAAAUUUGUUGGCAUUUUAUUCUGUUUCAGGAU
rnacentral:snoRNA from 9 species